rnacentral:piRNA from 1 species
UCCAAUGAGGUAGUGCACGGUAAAAAUGCC